GCAAGGAUAUGCCCAGUGGUUAGAGUGUCUGUCUGUCUGUCAAACAGAAGGGCGUGGGUUCAAAUCCUGAUAGCGGCG